rnacentral:rRNA from 1 species
AAAUUGAAGAGUUUGAUCAUGGCUCAGAUUGAACGCUGGCGGCAGGCCUAACACAUGCAAGUCGAACGGUAACAGGAAGCAGCUUGCUGCUUCGCUGACGAGUGGCGGACGGGUGAGUAAUGUCUGGGAAACUGCCUGAUGGAGGGGGAUAACUACUGGAAACGGUGGCUAAUACCGCAUAACGUCGCAAGACCAAAGAGGGGGACCUUCGGGCCUCUUGCCAUCAGAUGUGCCCAGAUGGGAUUAGCUGGUUGGUGAGGUAACGGCUCACCAAGGCGACGAUCCCUAGCUGGUCUGAGAGGAUG